rnacentral:tmRNA from 1 species
GGGAGUGAAUGUUUCGAUGGAUUGUUCUUUAAAGCAAGGCAAGUUGAGCUUUCUUGGGGCUCACUAAUAUCUAAGAAAAAACAUAAUUGCUAAUUUUAAUUUUAAUAAGCAACCCGCGUUAGCUUUCGCUUAAUGCGGCAUCCUUACCGUUGACUCCUAAUAAAUGGACCAAGGGUGUUAUAUUAUUAGGAUAGAUAAUUUAUUUCUUCGAGAAAUUAUCGAAACUAAGAAGAUAAGGCAUUAAAAAUUUUGUUAUUUUUUUAUUUAAUGUCCCAAAAACAAAAAUGGCUAAACUUGUAGAAUUGCUUUAGAAAACUUUUCAGACGCGAGUUCAAUCUCGCCACUUCCACCC